rnacentral:rRNA from 1 species
GACGAACGCUGACAGAAUGCUUAACACAUGCAAGUCUACUUGAUUCUACUUCGGUAGUUGAUGGUGGCGGACGGGUGAGUAACGCGUAAAGAAUCUGCCCUUUAGUUUGGGAUAACCUUUGGAAACGAAGGCUAAUACCGGAUAUUAUGGAGACGUCGCAUGGCGACUCCAUGAAAGCUAUAUGCGCUAGAGGAGGACUUUGCGUCCCAUUAGUUAGUUGGUGAGGUAAUGGCCCACCAAGACCGCGAUGGGUAGCCGGCCUGAGAGGGUGAUCGGCCACAAGGGAACUGAGACACGGUCCUUACUCCUACGGGAGGCAGCAGUGGGGAAUAUUGGACAAUGGGCCACAAGCCUGAUCCAGCAAUUCUGUGUGCACGAUGAAGGUCUUCGGAUUGUAAAGUGCUUUCAGUAGGGAAGAAAAAAAUGACGGUACCUACAGAAGAAGCGACGGCUAAAUAUGUGCCAGCCGCCGCGGUAAAAC